AAUUACGAUACUCCAUAUCGUCUUUUAGUCUGUGGUUCGCUUAAAGCCUGAUGCCUUGGCUUGUUUUGGAACUAAUGUCUUUGACGGAGAAGAAACAUAUGAACUAACUGGUCAUUUUUGUGUAAAAUCAGAUCCAGUUUGACAUAUUGCACUUGCAGAUCAUACAGUUUGCACAAGGGCAGCAUGAGAUGAGGGAUGACACUAAUAGAAGACACUAACACAUUUUGACCAUAAAGGACCAAUGGUGCAUGCUUGGAGACGAGGUUUGUGAGAAAAAGACAGCAAAACAAGACCAAAUACAGCAGAAAUGUAAAUUAUUUAGAAACCAGGAACACAAAAUGAAUACAUAAAAACAACCACUGAAAAGUGAAAAUUUGAGUUGCCACCGACUUGGAAAUGACAUCAGAAAACACUUCUCACUGAAGAUCGAUCUGCCCUGGCUUUCUGAUGUCCGAACUCAGGCUCUGUUCCAGUCAUUAUUUUUAAGUAGUAGGUCUUCCAAGUUUCCAUGUUCUACAAAAAUUUUGAGCCGAUGGGUACCUGUUUUUUAAUUUCCUGUCAAGGACCAUGCUGGGAUUCCUCACAAAUUCAAUAAGAGCAAAAUAACCCUGUGUGAUAAACAUCAAAGCUGCCAUGUUUAAAAAGGAAGGACCAUAUGAUGAAAGCACAGGAUGGAGUUCCUAUUGCCAUGCAUUAUACGACUGACAGACUGCAACGGUUGGAGUUAAAAA